UACGAAGGGGGCUAGCGUUGCUCGGAAUUACUGGGCGUAAAGGGCGCGUAGGCGGAUGUUUAAGUCGGGGGUGAAAGCCCGGGGCUCAACCUCGGAAUUGCCUUCGAUACUGGACAUCUUGAGUACGGGAGAGGUGAGUGGAACUGCGAGUGUAGAGGUGAAAUUCGUAGAUAUUCGCAAGAACACCAGUGGCGAAGGCGGCUCACUGGCCCGGUACUGACGCUGAGGUGCGAAAGCGUGGGGAGCAAACAG
rnacentral:rRNA from 1 species